rnacentral:rRNA from 1 species
GUAUUGGACAAUGGGGGAAACCCUGAUCCAGCCAUGCCGCGUGAGUGAUGAAGGCCUUCGGGUUGUAAAGCUCUUUUAGCGGGGAAGAUAAUGACGGUACCCGCAGAAUAAGCCCCGGCUAACUUCGUGCCAGCAGCCGCGGUAAGACGAAGGGGGCUAGCGUUGUUCGGAAUUACUGGGCGUAAAGGGCGCGCAGGCGGCUCUACAAGUCAGGCGUUAAAGACCCAGGCUCAACCUGGGGAAUGCGCUGGAUACUGUAGGGCUUGAGAUCGGAAGAGGAGAGUGGAAUUCCCAGUGUAGAGGUGAAAUUCGUAGAUAUUGGGAAGAACACCAGUGGCGAAGGCGGCUCUCUGGUCCGAUUCUGACGCUGAGGCGCGAAAGCGUGGGGAGCAAACAGG